rnacentral:lncRNA from 1 species
CUGAAAUGCCGGCUGCUGGCGCGGUACUCCCAGCGCUGGGUCAAGUCGGUCUGCCAGAACCGCCUGCGUCUGUCCGGUGACCCAGCAGUCAACCCACCACGCUCAGCUGUUGUGGGCAUGAUUGCUGCCCCGCCGCCCCUCGUGAGGACGUCACCCAGGCACUGUGCCGCCCUGCAGUGCCUCUGUCAGUUCAUCGAGGAGCAUCUCGAGUACAAGCCUCAGGGUAAAUGUCUCUUCUGCAUCGACAUGGCGCAGUCAAUGCACGGGGGAGUGCUUUGAUUCUACCCAAAGUUGGACCAUCACGACAGUUCCUGGCUGACGCUGUGCUGCUCUUCCUUGGGCCUCCUGGAGUCAUUGUCGGGCCGAUCGC